UGGGGAAUUUUCCGCAAUGGGCGAAAGCCUGACGGAGCAAUACCGCGUGAGGGAGGAAGGCCUUUGGGUUGUAAACCUCUUUUCUGGGGGAAGAAGUACUGACGGUACCCCAGGAAUCAGCAUCGGCUAACUCCGUGCCAGCAGCCGCGGUAAUACGGAGGAUGCAAGCGUUAUCCGGAAUUAUUGGGCGUAAAGCGUCCGCAGGUGGUCCAUCAAGUCGGCUGUCAAAGACCGGAGCUCAACUCCGGGCAGGCAGUGGAAACUGGUGAACUAGAGUACGGUAGGGGUAGAGGGAAUUCCCAGUGUAGCGGUGAAAUGCGUAGAGAUUGGGAAGAACACCAGUGGCGAAGGCGCUCUACUGGGCCGUAACUGACACUCAGGGACGAAA
rnacentral:rRNA from 1 species